CACGUAGGCACCAAGCGUUGUCCGGAUUUAUUGGGCGUAAAGAGCUCGUAGGCGGCUUAGCAAGUCGGGUGUGAAACCUCCAGGCUCAACCUGGAGACGCCACUCGAUACUGCUAUGGCUUGAGUUCGGUAGGGGACCAUGGAAUUCCUGGUGUAGCGGUGAAAUGCGCAGAUAUCAGGAGGAACAUCCGAUGGCGAAGGCAGUGGUCUGGGCCGAUACUGACGCUGAGGAGCGAAAGCGUGGGGAGCGAACAGG
rnacentral:rRNA from 1 species